rnacentral:rRNA from 1 species
CAUGUCUUAUGAUUGUUUAAUUUUAGGUUUGUUCUGCUCAAUGAUUAAUUUAAAUAGCUGCAGUAUAUUGACUGUACAAAGGUAGCAUAAUCAUUUGUCUUUUAAUUGGGGGCUUGUAUGAAUGAUUGGACGAGAUAUUAACUUUCUUUAUUUUAGUUUAUGAAUUUAAGUUUUUAGUUAAAAUGCUGAAAUGUUAUUGCGGGACGAGAAGACCCUAUAGAACUUUAUUUAUUAUUUUGGUUAUUUAUUUUAUGUUUAUUUAUUAUUUAAUUGGUUAAUAUUUUUGGUUGGGGUGAUUAUGAAAUUUUUUUAACUUUUUAUAUUUUAUAUUACAAUAAUUUUUGUUUUUAUGAUCCUUUAUUAUGGAUUAUUAGAUAAAGUUACCUUAGGGAUAACAGCGUAAUUUUUUUGGAGAGUUCAUAUCGAUAAAAUAAGUUUGCGACCUCGAUGUUGGAUUAAAGUAAUUUUUGGUGUAGGUGCUAAAAUUUUUGAGUCUGUUCGACUUUUAAUUUUUUACAUGAUCU